GUCAAUAAGAUUUCUCGUGAUUGCGUAGCUUUGGCCAACAUUAAUAAUCUCUUAUGCAGCCAAAAACUGUUUAGCUGUUUAAGAAACGCACCUAAUAUCUAUUUUGAAGUGAUUCCCAUUUUCUAUGCCAGUACAGUUUAUAGGGCGACCAUUGAAUUGGCUCCCAAGAAACUAAAUAUUGAACUGUUUCCUAAUACAAUUUUAACCAAAUGGUUCU